GGGUGUUACAGGUUCGCACGUGAGAGGCGUGGCGGCGCGAGGAAAGGGCGUAGCUCCGUAGAUAGCGCCCUACCCCAGAGACCAGAGAUAGCGGUAUUCCGAGUCGACAUAUCCUAGAGGUAUAGAGAUGAAAAGAUCAAUGCAUUAAGAUUGUAAUGAGUAAAUGAUGUAUUAACUCUAAUUGCAUUUUGGAUGUAAAAGGAUUGUAAUUAAGUUGUAAAUCUAUCAAUGUGAAUGCAUGUAAUAACAUAGGAUGUGUUAUGUUGUUGAUACCUUUCCUUAUGUAAUCAGUGUAUG
rnacentral:lncRNA from 1 species